rnacentral:rRNA from 1 species
GACGAACGCUGGCGGCGUGCCUAAUACAUGCAAGUAGAACGCUGAAGGAGGAGCUUGCUUCUCUGGAUGAGUUGCGAACGGGUGAGUAACGCGUAGGUAACCUGCCUGGUAGCGGGGGAUAACUAUUGGAAACGAUAGCUAAUACCGCAUAAGAGUAGAUGUUGCAUGACAUUUGCUUAAAAGGUGCAAUUGCAUCACUACCAGAUGGACCUGCGUUGUAUUAGCUAGUUGGUGGGGUAACGGCUCACCAAGGCGACGAUACAUAGCCGACCUGAGAGGGUGGGCGGCCACACGGGGACUGAGACACGGCCCAGACGCCACGGGGAGGCAGCAGGAGGGACUCUGCGGAAAGGGAGGGAGGCCAGACCGAGAAAGGCGGGGGGAGGAAAGAAGUGUUGGGGAGCGAAAAGCUCUUUUGAAAGAGAAGAACGGGGGGGGGAGGGAAAAUUACACCCGGGGAGGGUAGUUAAACAGAAGGGGACGGCAAACUCCGGG